AUUGAACGCUAGCGGCAGGCCUAACACAUGCAAGUCGAACGAGUGGCGGACGGGUGAGUAAUGUCUGGGAAAAUGCCCGAUGGAGGGGGAUAACUAAUGGAAAAGGUAGCUAAUACCGCAUACCAUCGGAAGUGCCCAGAUGGGAUUAGCUAGUAGUUGGGGGAAAGGCUCACUAGGGCGACGAUCCCUAGCUGGUCUGAGAGGAUGACCAGCCACACUGGAACUGAGACACGGUCCAGACUCCUACGGGAGGCAGCAGUGGGUAAUAUUGGACAAUGGGCGCAAGCCCGAUGCAGCCAUGCCGCGUGUAUGAAGAAGGCCUUCGGGUUGUAAAGUACUUUCAGCGGGGAGGCGUUACCCGCAGAAGAAGCACCGGCUAACUCCGUGCCAGCCGCCGCGGUAAUAC
rnacentral:rRNA from 1 species